rnacentral:rRNA from 1 species
GAUGAACGCUGGCGGCGUGCCUAAUACAUGCAAGUCGAGCGAAUGGAUUAAGAGCUUGCUCUUAUGAAGUUAGCGGCGGACGGGUGAGUAACACGUGGGUAACCUGCCCAUAAGACUGGGAUAACUCCGGGAAACCGGGGCUAAUACCGGAUAACAUUUUGAACCGCAUGGUUCGAAAUUGAAAGGCGGCUUCGGCUGUCACUUAUGGAUGGACCCGCGUCGCAUUAGCUAGUUGGUGAGGUAACGGCUCACCAAGGCAACGAUGCGUAGCCGGCCUGGGAGGGUGAUCGGCCACACUGGGACUGAGACACGGCCCAGACUCCUACGGGAGGCAGCAGUAGGGAAUCUUCCGCAAUGGACGAAAGUCUGACGGAGCAACGCCGCGUGAGUGAUGAGGGCUUUCGGGUCGUAAAACUCUGUUGUUAGGGAAGAACAAGUGCUAGUUGAAUAAGCUGGCACCUUGACGGUACCUAACCAGAAAGCCACGGCUAACUACGUGCCAUCAGCCGCCGUAA